rnacentral:rRNA from 1 species
UACGAAGGUCCCAAGCGUUAUCCGGAUUUAUUGGGUUUAAAGGGUGCGUAGGCGGCUUAUUAAGUCAAUGGUGAAAGCCCCAAGCUUAACUUGGGAACUGCCAUUGAUACUGAUGAGCUUGAGUAGAUUUGAGGCGGGCGGAAUGUGUCGUGUAGCGGUGAAAUGCUUAGAUAUGACACAGAACACCAAUUGCGUAGGCAGCUCGCUAAACUCUUACUGACGCUGAGGCACGAAAGCAUGGGGAUCAAACAGG